rnacentral:rRNA from 1 species
GCUAGUUGCGCGGGUUCAGCCCCGCAGCGAAAAGCUCAGUAACACGUGGCCAAGCUACCCUGUGGACGGGAAUAAUCUCGGGAAACUGAGGCUAAUCCCCGAUAACGCUUCGCUCCUGGAAGGGGCGAAGCCGGAAACGCUCCGGCGCCACAGGAUGCGGCUGCGGUCGAUUAGGUAGACGGUGGGGUAACGGCCCACCGUGCCUAUAAUCGGUACGGGUUGUGAGAGCAAGAGCCCGGAGACGGAAUCUGAGACAAGAUUCCGGGCCCUACGGGGCGCAGCAGGCGCGAAACCUUUACACUGUACGAAAGUGCGAUAAGGGGACUCCGAGUGUGAAGGCAUAGAGCCUUCACUUUUGUACACCGUAAGGUGGUGUACGAAUAAGGACUGGGCAAGACCGGUGCCAGCCGCCGCGGUAAUACCGGCAGUCCGAGUGAUGGCCGAUAUUAUUGGGCCUAAAGCGUCCGUAGCUGGCUAGACAAGUCCGUUGGGAAAUCUGCCCGCUUAACGGGCAGGCGUCCAGCGGAAACUGUCUAGCUUGGGACCGGAAGACCUGAGGGGUACGUCUGGGGUAGGAGUGAAAUCCUGUAAUCCUGGACGGACCGCCGGUGGCGAAAGCGCCUCAGGAGAACGGAUCCGACAGUGAGGGACGAAAGCUAGGGUCUCGAACCGGAUUAGAUACCCGGGUAGUCCUAGCUGUAAACGAUGUCC